rnacentral:rRNA from 1 species
GACGAACCGUGCGAACGUUAUUCGGAAUCACUGGGCUUAAAGGGCGCGUAAGCGGACCGCCAAGUCAGGGGUGAAAGCCUCCGGCUCAACCGGAGAAGAGCCUUUGAUACUGGCGGUCUAGAGGGAGGUAGGGGCCUGCGGAACUUCCGGUGGAGCGGUGAAAUGCGUAGAUAUCGGAAGGAACGCCGGUGGCGAAAGCGGCGGGCUGGACCUCUACUGACGCUGAGGCGCGAAAGCCAGGGGAGCAAACGGG